rnacentral:misc_RNA from 1 species
ACCUUUUGAACAAGCAUAGUUUCCAGGUACUCCAGGCAUUUCUGGACAGUUGUUACAUGAAACAAUAUCAGCUUAAUUAUGUGAAGCCAAAGUAAUGGAAAGAGACAAAAUAAAAAUUUAAAAAUAUAUAUUGACUAUCCUAGAAAUCUAGUUAAGUUGAAGCUCACAAGUUGCUCCCCCUUGAGGAGCUUUUGAACAAGUUCCUGACCAACCAAAG